UACGUAGGUGGCAAGCGUUGUCCGGAUUUACUGGGCGUAAAGGGCGUGCAGGCGGUUUGUUAAGUGCAGGGUGAAAGCUCCCGGCUCAACCGGGAGAGGUCCUUGCAUACUGGCAAACUCGAGGGAGGCAGAGGAAAGUGGAAUUCCCGGUGUAGUGGUGAUAUGCGUAGAUAUCGGGAGGAACACCUGUGGCGAAGGCGGCUUUCUGGGCCUUACCUGACGCUGAGACGCGAAAGCGAGGGGAGCAAACAGG
rnacentral:rRNA from 1 species